GCUCCCCCGUGAGGGGUCGUUGCCGCGGGCAGUGCCCUCCCUGCCUCCUGGAGCCGAGCCCGGCGCUGCCCCGAGGGAGCCCCGCCAGGAAGGCACCGCAGAGCUGGUUUCAGUGACAAGAACUUUCUCCCUUUGUUGAUUAGAUGAACAUAUCAUGUGCAAAACCAUUCCAUAUGGACACUGGGAUUUCUUGAGCUGCCCAAGGCAUGGCCCUGACAGGUGGGAUGGAAUACUGUUGGUGGAGUUUGCCACUUUGAGGAAAGCCUGAAGAAAUAAAGCAAUAGAAGCAGACUUCAAGUGGAAUUUGCAUUCUUGCUUUGCUCUCUGAUGAGAAGACACAGUAUGAACAAAAAGGUUGGUAUCAUCCCAGUUCCUUCACUGGCUCUUCCCUGACCAAUCACAGAGAAUCAGUGAGUUAGAUGGGAGCAAUGGGAAGUCAAACCUUUUUGACUAGAAGGAAUGGGCACAGAUACAGCAGUGGAAUGAUGCUGUUUCUCUCCAAACAACUUUGUGUUGUUUAUAUUCUCAGCCUGCCAUGGAACCACGUCGCUGCUACUUGAAGGUUCCAAAUGCUCUCUGCACCCAGAAGUUCAUUGUCCAACAGUUUUCCUACAAGGACAUUGCAGAAGAAUCCAUAAGGCACAUGUCAGAUAAAUGCCUGCUCAAGAUCCGAAGUGGAAUCAGACUAACAAAAUGAAAACAGUGAUUAUGUUCUGUGAUCCAGUGCAAUGAAAUUCUAAAAAUUGAGAGGAGGAAUUAUCAAGGAGCCCCAGCCAUUUCUACAUUCAGGGAUUGCAUGAAAAUAUGAUACCCACUCUUAAUUUGCUGUAAACUCCUUGGUGAUUCAGAGAGGAAAUAGGCUGCCCAGUCACAGGGUGACUCUGGAGAAGGAGCCUCUCAAAGAACCAUCAGAGUGGAAGCAGCCAAGCAAACCCGUUUCCAAGUGACAGGUCUGUCCAGAAUGUCUGUGUUCUAAUGAAUUCUGUGUGUUGAGACACUUUGCUUCAUCCAGUCCUGCCCAAUAAUAUCAGCUUUGAGUAAUGUACUCCCUCUCAGGGGAGGUCGUACUGGGAGCUCCAGCUGGAGUCAGCAGCAGAGUACAAACAAGCAUCUGCAUUGUACUAUUAAAU